GAUGAACGCUGGCGGCGUGCCUAAUACAUGCAAGUCGAGCGAACGGACGAGAAGCUUGCUUCUCUGAUGUAAGGGGCGACGGGGGGAGUAACCCGUGGAAAACCUACUUUUAAGCUUGGGAUACCUCCGGGAAACCGGAGUUAAACCGGGAUGAUUUUUUGAACCCCAUGGUUCAAAAUUGAAAGCCGGCUUUCUUUCACCUAAUGGAUGGAUCCGCGCUGCAUUAGCUAGUUGGUAAGGUAACGGCUUACCAAGGCAACGAUGCAUAGCCGACCUGAGAGGGUGAUCGGCCACACUGGAACUGAGACACGGUCCAGACUCCUACGGGAGGCAGCAGUAGGGAAUCUUCCGCAAUGGGCGAAAGCCUGACGGAGCAACGCCGCGUGAGUGAUGAAGGUCUUCGGAUCGUAAAACUCUGUUAUUAGGGAAGAACAUAUGUGUAAGUAACUGUGCACAUCUUGACGGUACCUAAUCAGAAAGCCACGGCUAACUACGUG
rnacentral:rRNA from 1 species